CUUUGCGUGACCUAGUCAAUAACGUGUCUGGCUUGCAACCAAAGGGUUGCGGGUUCGAAUCCCGCCUUAAAUU
rnacentral:tRNA from 1 species